rnacentral:rRNA from 1 species
UACGGAGGGUGCAAGCGUUGUCCGGAUUUAUUGGGUUUAAAGGGUGCGUAGGCGGCUCAUUAAGUCUGGGGUGAAAGCCCGUUGCUCAACAACGGAACUGCCCUGGAAACUGGUGAGCUUGAGUACAGACGAGGGUGGCGGAAUGGAUGCUGUAGCGGUGAAAUGCAUAGAUAGCAUCCACGAACCCCGAUGCGAAGCAGCUGCCUAGACUGUAACUGA